rnacentral:lncRNA from 1 species
CAAAUAUGCUAAAAUUUCAAGAUUUUAUUAUAAUCACUACUUAAAGAAUCUGAAUAAAAUUUUCCAAUUCCUUAAUGAGGAAUGAGGCAAUGGAGAGGAUCGUUCUGAAAAGAACCUAAAGUUACAAAUAAUCUUGUAAGAAUCUCAGUAAAAUGUCCCAAACUCUCUCGAUCUUUAUUCCAUUCGAUAAAUAAAUUAAAAAGAGAAACAUCUUUACUUCAAGUCACGUGUAUAAACUGGUUAAGCCUCCACUAAGGUUGACGAAAAACAAAGCAUGCUUUUAUAGUCUGAACGAAAAAUAUUUUUAUAUUUUAUUUCUGCUGAGAGACAAAAGAGAAUUAUAUGUGGUUGAAGUGGAUUCUGUGAAUGGAAUUCGAAAUGCAGUAUUUCAUAACUUAUUCCCCUGGUUUCAUAUUUGUUUUACAAGAGAAAUUCUACAAAAAGUUCUCUCGUCGAAUGCUAAAGAAAUAAUUAAUGAGUUAUGCGAAAUUGCUAGAGAGUUUACAAAAUGAAAAUUGUUAGAAUGUAUAUUUUGUUACAAAUUUGUAUUAUGGUAUGAAGGAAAUGCAUUUGUAUAAAGUAAAUAUAAAAGUAGGGAGAACAGAACACUGCACUCAAAAUUUGUUUCUCUAGCUUGAUAUUUGUUACUCUAACUACCAUGAUAUUUGAUGAUAUUUUUUACUCUAACUACAAAAUUUUUUUUAAAUUUUUAAGUUCACGAAUAAGAUUAUUUCGGUACAACUAAUAGAGUUAAUUUUGUUUUCUUUAUCCUGCAUGAUUGGUUUAAAGAAAUAAGAUAUUGAUGUUUGAUAAGAGUUAACAAUGUUUCAUAAAAUUUGCUUAGAAUAUAAUUCUUUUAUUACUUUUAACUCGAAAAGAGGAAUAAGCGAUGAGGCCUAACCUCGUGUUUUAGAUCAGAUUUAAUUGGAUACCUGUAAGUGACGUCAUGCAUGUUUGUCAAAGAUGAUUGGCAUCCAAAUCGACGAAUGCCUUGUCUUACUCAGGAUGACGUAACAUGCGGGUAUUCAAUUAUGUAUGCUUCUUAUAAUUAAAUAUCUAAUAUCAAAACUAAAGAUUUCAUAAUAAAUCCUUACAUGCAAACUGCUAAUUUUAUGGGUGUAUGUUGGAGUAAUAGGUUUUUAUUUACUUAUUUAUUUAUAAAAAUGUACAAAAUUGUUGUUUAUACAAUGAAUACAGUAUUUGAUCGAAAACCUUUUUUGCUUGAUACUGUUAAUUGCCAUAAGUCACUGCUGUCUUUUUAAACUACGGAAACAAAUAUUAACUCUUAAUCUCUGAAGUUGUUUCGAGUUUAUUGCAACUGCUUUCUUGCGACUAAUUAUAAGUAACUACUGGUACAUUGUAAAGAUAGACUGACAGAAACUGUCUUAUUCAUGAUUUAACUACACCGUCGUCAGUGUUUAAAAUUACUUCAUUUUAAUCAUAAUAUUUGCAAUUUUAUUUCAUCAUUAUAUGCUUUAAUAUUAUUAGUCUUUCAUUCCAAUCAAAUAUUUUAUUUUCAUAGCAUAUUUGUAUAAUCACGCAUAUGUUCCGAAUGCAUAUAUUUUUGGUAUAUCCUUACAACAGGUAUUUGCAUUUGAGAUAUAAAAUUUCAGAUUCAGAAAUAGCAACAUGCACAGUGAAAACAAAACAAAAAAGUUACGUUCCGGCAUUGUUUUUUCUAAUAAAAAUUCUUAACUGAAUUGUUUCAUGUAAUGUGGAUAACAUGAAAAUAUUUCUAUAAAAUAUGUUAUUUCCGCUAUCCUCAUAUUUCAUGCAUAUCUGAUUCCCAUUUCAAAACAGGUUUUCCUUUACAAGAUAUUUUCAUGGAGAAAACAAUAUUUGCAUUUAAAAGAGAAAGAUUUGAAUGACACCGUUUCUCGCUUUAACAAUGAGUUCAUGUUAGUUAUAAAAAAAACCUCCAAUCGUAACAUGUAACAAAUACAUUUAUUUUGAAAAUUUCCUGAUUUAUAAACAUUAAUCAUAGAAUGAGAUACUAAAUUAAGAGUCUGAGCGAAAACGUUAUCAAAAACUAAAAAAAUAUUUUCCAAUGUCAAUAACUGAAAGAUUGUAGCUUUAAAACUGACUUAUUUCAUUAAAUGAAACUUAAAAACAUAUGCCAUUCAGGAUAAUCCAAUUUAUUUUUCAUUAACUGAACAAAAUGGCUAUUUAAUUCAUUUGAGGAUAAUUUUUUUCUUCAUUCUAUAAAACAUAUCCUGUUAUGCUUACUGUUAAAGAUUUUCAGACUUUAUUUUCAACUAAACAUUUUCAAGUCCUAGAAGUUCAAAAACUAAAUGUUUCGAGAAAUAUAUUAUACAAAAUAUCAAAGAAAUAAUAAUAAAUAAAUAUAUAGUAAAAUACUAGGCAACUUAAAUAUGUUUCCCAUUUUUUUAAAAUUCAGAUUUGGAUUCCUCAGAAAUUUUGUUUUAAGUAUUGUGCCUUAAGAUCGAUCCAAAGUAUUACUUAAUUAUUCCACUACAAUAUACAUUAAUCAAAAACCAUGAAUCAGCACAUACUAAGCAAUCAUUAUAAACUGUUAUAAAUAUAUUGCUCGAUGUAAAGAUAUACAUUUUCCAAGCAAAUAAAUAGAAAAAACAUUUAAGAAGAAUUUUAUUUUUUACUUUCUUUCUUCAUAGAAUGAUACAUCAAAAUCUCUAUUAAAUCAAAUUCUUUCAACAAAACACCCUUUUUAUUAAUUAUUUAUGGUCUUACAAAGUUUGUUAAUUUGUAUAAAUUGAAUUGAAACAGAAUGACAUUAAAUUUGUAAGCACAAUAAACUGAAUAAGCAUUGUGAUUUUCAACAAAAAAAAAGCUUUUUAUUCCAGGAGAAUCUUUAAGUUAGGAGAAAUCAAUAGUGACAUAAAACAACUGUAAUCUGCAAGCUUCGUCGCAACAGACAUUAAAUGUUAAAGUAAUCUGUUGUAAUUAAAAAGAAAACUGAUUUUGAAACAAGUUCAAAGGGAAAGAAAGAUAAUGACGAUGAAGUUUAAGUUGAGAGAUUGGACCGAUGUGCUUGCAUAGCAAAACGCAGCUGAAUCAGGGCGAACUGCUCAGGAUGAGUUUCAAAAAAUGGAUAAAAAUAAUCAUGAAAGUGGUGGCGAAGUUGAAGGAGUAAAAUUAGCAGAAAAACUGACAUCUGUUCAAUAUAAUAUUAAGAAAGCAAGAAAGUGGAUAAGAAAGAGGAUGUAAAUGUUGAAAAAAUAGAAGAGCCAAAAGUGGCAGAAUAUCGGAAGUCAGCACAAAGAAGCAUACAGGAAGUGGAUAAGGAGAUGGAUAAAAAUUAUGAAAAAUAUCCAGUAAAAAUUGGAAUAUAGUCAGUAUGGAACAACUUGAGUUCUGGCAGAAUGGGUUCGUAAAGUAUGACUUGAAAACAGAGGGACUUUCUACCGCCCAUCACGUGCACCAGAAUAAAGAGUUCCAAAAA